rnacentral:misc_RNA from 1 species
UCGUAACAAGGUUUCCGUAGGUGAACCUGCGGAAGGAUCAUUACCUAGAGUUUGUAGACUUCGGUCUGCUACCUCUUACCCAUGUCUUUUGAGUACCUUCGUUUCCUCGGCGGGUCCGCCCGCCGAUUGGACAACAUUCAAACCCUUUGCAGUUGCAAUCAGCGUCUGAAAAAACAUAAUAGUUACAACUUUCAACAACGGAUCUCUUGGUUCUGGCAUCGAUGAAGAACGCAGCGAAAUGCGAUAAGUAGUGUGAAUUGCAGAAUUCAGUGAAUCAUCGAAUCUUUGAACGCACAUUGCGCCCCUUGGUAUUCCAUGGGGCAUGCCUGUUCGAGCGUCAUUUGUACCUUCAAGCUCUGCUUGGUGUUGGGUGUUUGUCUCGCCUCUGCGUGUAGACUCGCCUUAAAACAAUUGGCAGCCGGCGUAUUGAUUUCGGAGCGCAGUACAUCUCGCGCUUUGCACUCAUAACGACGACGUCCAAAAGUACAUUUUUACACUCUUGACCUCGGAUCAGGUAGGGAUACCCGCUGAACUUAAGCAUAUCAAUAAGCGGAGGA